UUUUUUUUUCUUUUUUUCUUUUUUUUUUUUGAAAUCUUGAUUCUUAUGAUUUGAUGAAAACGAUGGAAGGAGAUAGACGAGGAGUUGACGGAGAGAUAGAUGCGGACGGUGAUGAUUGAAAUAAAAUUUUGCAUCAUAGUUACGAUACCUAAUUUGUUUCCGCCAAAAAGAAGAACUCCAUUCUACAAUCAGAAGAACCAGUUAAAUAUUUCUGUAUGAAAUACAAAUUCUAAAACCUAGAAGAAAGAAUAAUAUAAUUACAUGUCUUGCUUGUAAAAUCUUGUAGCAACAGACUUACGUGAUCCCUUAGAAAAAUUUAGAAUGUUAAAGUACUAUUUUCAUACUCCAAUUCCUCCUCAGCAUAACCCUGAUGAAACAAUAGGAAGUGCAGUGCAUGUUUUGUUUCACAGAAAGUUACGAUGUCUCAACUGGUUUGGUACUAGCGUUUAUAUACUACGGGUCUUCAGUUCGACCCCUAGCUUAUUUAUAUU